rnacentral:rRNA from 1 species
GUCGAACGGAAACAUGUCUAGCUUGCUAGAUGAUGUCGAGUGGCGGACGGGUGAGUAAUGCUUGGGAACUUGCCUUUGCGAGGGGGAUAACAGUUGGAAACGACUGCUAAUACCGCAUAAUGUCUACGGACCAAACAGGGCUUCGGCUCUGGCGCAAAGAGAGGCCCAAGUGAGAUUAGCUAGUUGGUGAGGUAAAGGCUCACCAAGGCAACGAUCUCUAGCUGUUCUGAGAGGAAGAUCAGCCACACUGGGACUGAGACACGGCCCAGACUCCUACGGGAGGCAGCAGUGGGGAAUAUUGCACAAUGGGGGAAACCCUGAUGCAGCCAUGCCGCGUGUGUGAAGAAGGCCUUCGGGUUGUAAAGCACUUUCAGUUGUGAGGAAAAGUUAGUAGUUAAUACCUGCUAGCCGUGACGUUAACAACAGAAGAAGCACCGGCUAACUCCGUGCCAGCAGCCGCGGUAAUACGGAGGGUGCGAGCGUUAAUCGGAAUUACUGGGCGUAAAGCGCACGCAGGCGGUUUGUUAAGCUAGAUGUGAAAGCCCCGGGCUCAACCUGGGACGGUCAUUUAGAACUGGCAGACUAGAGUCUUGGAGAGGGGAGUGGAAUUCCAGGUGUAGCGGUGAAAUGCGUAGAUAUCUGGAGGAACAUCAGUGGCGAAGGCGACUCCCUGGCCAAAGACUGACGCUCAUGUGCGAAAGUGUGGGUAGCGAACAGGAUUAGAUACCCUGGUAGUCCACACCGUAAACGCUGUCUACUAGCUGUUUGUGACUUUAAGUCGUGAGUAGCGAAGCUAACGCGAUAAGUAGACCGCCUGGGGAGUACGGCCGCAAGGUUAAAACUCAAAUGAAUUGACGGGGGCCCGCACAAGCGGUGGAGCAUGUGGUUUAAUUCGAUGCAACGCGAAGAACCUUACCUACACUUGACAUGUUGAGAAGUACCAGAGAUGGUUUCGUGCCUUCGG